AAGCAUAUAAAUGAAGAACAAUUCAAUAUAUGAGAGUUUCAAAGGAUUACAUCGUUUUUCCCAACAACAAAGGGGUUUAGUUCACCAUUGUCAUGUGAACUAGAUGAAAAUAAUGAAGGUAAUGGAAAGAUAAACCUGAGAAAUGUAGGUUGGAGCUUUCGCAUCCAAAAUUCGCCUCCAAGGGGUGAGAAAGGGUGUUUCUGCGUCUUCUUCUGCCAAAAGAUGACCUCUAAGGGUCGCACUGAUCUAUUUAUAAACUGUGAAAAAUUAUAGAAACCAGGCUCAAGUCCAAAGUACAGUGCUCAGCGGUAGGUGCGACACUCAAGUGGGACGCUCAGCGUUCACGCCCAGGCAUUUGGUAGUGCUGUCACUAGAGAAGCCAGCGCUUAGCGCUGGUUCUAGCGCUCAGCGGUAGGCACGACUCUAUCUUCUCCCCUCAGCGUCAACGCUUAAGCGUUUGACAAAGGCUUUUUCAGCAAAGCUGGUUGCGAUUCUUCAUUUGCACUGUUUUUCAUCCUUUCUUGAGUCCAACUCCUUCCUAAUUCAUUCAAUUCUCGUUAAGUCCUGUAAAAACAAGAAAAACAAAGCAUAAUACCC
rnacentral:lncRNA from 1 species